AGGCCGUCACGCCAGCCAAAGCUCCCAAAGCUCCCAGGGCCCGGCCCUGCAGAAACUCCUGCCACAUCACCACAGCUCCCUCUGUGCUCUGUGCGCCGAUUUCCACUGUUCCUGGGUAGACCCGAUCUUUGGCGGGGAGGGCUGCACCCAUCUUGUCUUACGGUGGCCAUGUCUGCAUCCGCGUCAGACUUAGCCAUGCAACCAGGCACUGGAGAUUGAACCCAGGUCCUUGCACAUGCCAGGAAAAUAUUCUACCACGGAGCUAUGUUCCUAGACUGUAAACUUUUGCAUCCAGGCAAUGGGUAGCCAAGAUUCUCUCCCCUGCCUGAAACACUGUCAAAUGCUCCUCUUGCCACCCUCCUGCCAGUCAACCCAGCCUUGCCCAGCCCUCCAGAGAGCCUGCGCUCUCUUUAGCACAGCCCUCGCAGGUCAUCAUGUAACCCUCCGGCAGCAGCCUGGCCCUUGUGACACAGCCAACCCGCAUAUCGCCAACCCACUCCCUCCCAAGUCAGUGACUUCCAGCUCAGCCUUCCUGGCUCCUUUGGGAGGCUCCAGAAGAGAACACCCCAAAACUGCUGGCUGGGGGUGCAGCUCAGUACAGAGGUCCUGGGUUCAAUCCUCAGUUCUGAGGAAAAAAAAACAAACAGGAAGGGGCCUUCUACCCAGGGCUGCUCUAAGUCCAGUUCAUCUCAGAACAAAGAAGAAAAUGAUUGUCCUGUGGCCUGGUUGCUCCCCAAGACCAGCACUGUGAACCACGUGAUCACAGGUCUCAACCGUGACAGACUAAACUCUAAGCUCACUCCAUGUCCCCUCCAAAUACACCCAUCUUCCCCAUUCACAGCCCGAAAGGCAUCAACAUUCGCCUUUCCCACCUCCUCCUCUCCCGGUUUAUUUCUAGGCUUUAAGGUCCACAGGUCCAGGUGCCCCCCCCCUUGCCUCCUGGCUCAGGGGCUCUCAGCUCAGCUGAAAGGAAACAUCUCUGCCUUCUCUCCUCGGAGGCCCACCCUGGGCGCUCUGUCUACUCUGCCAGUCGCUCCUUUGUCCUCUGUCUUGUUG